rnacentral:misc_RNA from 1 species
AGCAGCCACGGUAAUUCCAGCUCCAAUAGCGUAUAUUAAAGUUGUUGCAGUUAAAAAGCUCGUAGUUGAAUUUCGGGAUCAAUAUGUUGGUCGUGCCUCGGUACGUACUAGCAUAUUGGUUUCUCCUUUCUGAAGAACCAUGAUGCCAUUUAUUUGGUGUCGUGGGGAAUCAGGACUGUUACUUUGAAAAAAUUAGGGUGUUUAAAGCAGGCUCACGCUUGAAUACAUUAGCAUGGAAUAAUGAAAUAGGACGUUUGAUUCUAUUUUGUUGGUUUCUAGGAUCGACGUAAUGAUUAAUAGGGAUAGUUGGGGGCAUUAGUAUUCAAUUGUCAGAGGUGAAAUUCUUGGAUUUAUUGAAGACUAACUACUGGGAAAGCAUUUGCCAAGGAUGUUUUCAUUAAUCAAGAACGAAAGUUAGGGGAUCGAAGACGAUCAGAUACCGUCGUAGUCUUAACCAUAAACUAUGCCGACUAGGGAUCGGAUGAUGUUAAUUUUUAAUGACCCAUUCGGCGCCUUACGG